GUUCGGUCAGGAUUUCCAAACAAAAACGUUUUAUUGGAUAGAACGUGUUCUUCUUCACCUAGUUAAAAACUUCACAUGGUGUCGGGAGAAACCAGAAGUCACGAGAAGUCUGCUUCCCCUGUGGAAGAACUGCUGCGUCCUACAUCUUUCGUUCCAUCAUGAGCACCGUUUCUAAUGUCCAGGCUGACUCUCAGCCGGAGCAGUGAUGCGGCGCAGUGAGCCUGGCCAGAUGGACCAAAAUAGCAGUG
rnacentral:lncRNA from 1 species